rnacentral:rRNA from 1 species
UACGGAGGGUGCAAGCGUUAAUCGGAAUUACUGGGCGUAAAGCGCACGUAGGUGGUUUGUUAAGCCAGCUGUGAAAUCCCCGGGCUCAACCUGGGCACUGCAGUUGGAACUGGCAAGCUAGAGUAGGGUAGAGGGGUGUGGAAUUCCAGGUGUAGCGGUGAAAUGCGUAGAUAUCUGGAGGAACAUCAGUGGCGAAGGCGACAUCCUGGACUCAUACUGACACUGAGGUGCGAAAGCGUGGGGAGCAAACAGG